AUAAAUUUAUAUAAAUAUA
rnacentral:tRNA from 1 species